AUUGAACGCUGGCGGCAUGCUUUACACAUGCAAGUCGAACGGGGUGGAGGGGCAACCUUCCAUUCAGUGGCGAACGGGUGAGUAAUGCAUCGGAACGUGUCCCGUAGUGGGGGAUAACGCCGGGAAACCGGCGCUAAUACCGCAUAUGCUCUACGGAGGAAAGUGGGGGACCUGAAAGGGCCUCAAGCCAUGGGAGCGGCCGAUGUCCGAUUAGCUAGUUGGCGGGGUAAAGGCCCACCAAGGCACAGCUCGGUAGCUGGUCUGAGAGGAUGACAAGCCACACGGGGACUGAGACACGGCCCAGACUCCUACGGGAGGCAGGCGUGGGGAAUUUUGGACAAUGGGGGCAACCCUGAUCCAGCCAUGCCGCGUGCGGGAAGAAGGCCUUCGGGUUGUAAACCGCUUUUAGCCGGAAAGAAAAGGCGGAGGCUAAUACCCUCCGUUCUUGACGGUACCGGCGGAAUAAGCACCGGCUAACUACGUGCCAGCAGCCGCCGUAAAAC
rnacentral:rRNA from 1 species